rnacentral:misc_RNA from 1 species
GCCCAAGCAUGACUCCAUCCCUAUAUGUUAGCAGAAGCAGCAACUGCUCUAUAUUCCCCUCUUGUGGCUUUGUCAAUUGUAUUAUAACAAGUAAUUACAUUGACACCCAUGACCUAACUAUCUACCAGAAUAUCAUAAUGAAUUUAGGUUCUUGCCUUCUCAGAAUUCUGCUGUGACCUGGCACUCUCCCAUUGCUUAACAAGUUCUGCAUAUCCUUCAGCAGAAUUAAUAGCAAAUUCUGUGAGAGAACUCAAUGCAACAGACAUUCC